AUAAUCUGUUCAUUAGAAUCCCUAAAUAGACAAAGAAUACAAUAUUUAAAAAUGCCCCAUAGGCUUAAUCCAGAUAUCUAACUCAAGCCAUUCUAAGCACAACACUGGUCUAAAAUACUUUGGCCCAACCUAGAUCCCUAAGCCCCAUCUAAGAACCUCAGGGCAAACUAAACCGAGUAAUGAACUUGAAACAGAGGACCCAGACAAGGAACAAAUCACCAGCGUCAUUCCUCUUAAAAACAUCCAGCCAAGCAGAACCAAUAGCAAAGAGAACCACACAACCAAAUAAAACUGCAACAGCCAACACUAGAACCAUAAGCAAGGUGGAAGAGCAAGUACCAUGGGGCCGAGGAAAACCCUUGAGCUUUGACCAGUGAAUCGCACAAUGUGAAGAGUAAGGAGGAGCAGGGUCCCGACGACGGCUUCUUAAUCUCUUUUAGCCAAGGCAGCAAGACUUUAUCAGCCAUCUCUUUAAACCCUGUAGCCAGCCACAAAAACCUCCUUUCGGCCAAAUUAAAGACAACACUUAAAGGACAUACAAGCUAUUGGAUAGGAGUAGAUUUGCAGAAAUCUUUCCCUUUGCGCCACCAGACCUACAACAACCGUACUAAACACACUAACGAAACAGAGGAUAAACUAAACCAAGUUCAUUGACAGCCUCAGAUCCCUCCACAUUUAAGCCCCUAAACAUCAAAAGCUAUCUACAGCCCUACCCACCAGUUGGGAGGGAGACCCACUGACCAGGUAGGGGGAGGCAGCCUCCCUCUACCAGAGGAUUAGAGGAAAAUUACCAUGAGCGGCAGAACUAGGGAUGACAACGGGUACUCGCGAAAAACACUCUACCCGAAUUCAAAUUCAAUCAAU
rnacentral:misc_RNA from 1 species